GACGAACCGUGCGAACGUUGUUCGGAUUCAUUGGGCAUAAAGGGCGCGUAGGCGGUUUGCAAAGUCAAGGGUGAAAUCUUUCGGCUCAACCGGAAAAGUGCCUUUGAUACUGGCAAACUAGAGCGAGGUAGGGGCAGAUGGAACUUCCGGUGGAGCGGUGAAAUGUGUUGAUAUCGGAAGGAACGCCGGUGGCGAAAGCGAUCUGCUGGACCUCUUCUGACGCUGAGGCGCGAAAGCCAGGGGAGCAAACGGG
rnacentral:rRNA from 1 species